CCUACGCGUGGCAGCAGUAGGGAAUCUUCGGCAAUGGACGGAAGUCUGACCGAGCAACGCCGCGUGAGUGAAGAAGGUUUUCGGAUCGUAAAGCUCUGUUGUAAGAGAAGAACGAGUGUGAGAGUGGAAAGUUCACACUGUGACGGUAUCUUACCAGAAAGGGACGGCUAACUACGUGCCAGCAGCCGCGGUAAUACGUAGGUCCCGAGCGUUGUCCGGAUUUAUUGGGCGUAAAGCGAGCGCAGGCGGUUAGAUAAAUCUGAAGUUAAAGGCUGUGGCUUAACCAUAGUACGCUUUGGAAACGGUUUAACUUGAGUGAAAGAGGGGAGAGUGGAAUUUCAUGUGUAGCGGUGAAAUGCGUAGAUAUAUGGAGGAACACCGGUGGCGAAAGCGGCUCUCUGGCUUGUAACUGACGCUGAGGCUCGAAAGCGUGGGGAGCAAACAGGAUUAGAUACCCGAGUAGUC
rnacentral:rRNA from 1 species